rnacentral:rRNA from 1 species
AACGAACGCUGGCGGCAUGCCUAACACAUGCAAGUCGAACGAGACCUUCGGGUCCAGUGGCGCACGGGUGCGUAACGCGUGGGAACCUGCCCUUAGGUUCGGAAUAACUCCCCGAAAGGGGUGCUAAUACCGGAUAAUGUCUUCGGACCAAAGAUUUAUCGCCUUUGGAUGGGCCCGCGUUGGAUUAGCUAGUUGGUAGGGUAAAAGCCUACCAAGGCGACGAUCCAUAGCUGGUCUGAGAGGAUGAUCAGCCACACUGGGACUGAGACACGGCCCAGACUCCUACGGGAGGCAGCAGUGGGGAAUAUUGGACAAUGGGCGAAAGCCUGAUCCAGCAAGGCCGCGUGAGUGAUGAAGGCCUUAGGGUUGUAAAGCUCUUUUACCCGGGAUGAUAAUGACAGUACCGGGAGAAUAAGCUCCGGCUAACUCCGU